UACAGAGGUCCCGAGCGUUGUUCGGAUUCACUGGGCGUAAAGGGUGCGUAGGUGGUCAGGUAAGUCUGAUGUGAAAUCUCUGAGCUCAACUCAGAAAUGGCAUUGGAUACUAUCUGGCUAGAGGGUCGGAGGGGGGACUGGAAUUCUCGGUGUAGCAGUGAAAUGCGUAGAUAUCGAGAGGAACACCAGUGGCGAAGGCGAGUCCCUGGACGACUCCUGACACUGAGGCACGAAAGCUAGGGGAGCAAACAGG
rnacentral:rRNA from 1 species